rnacentral:rRNA from 1 species
AUUCCAGCUCCAAUAGCGUAUAUUAAAGUUGUUGCAGUUAAAAAGCUCGUAGUUGGAUUUGUGGUGUACUUCGGCGGCCCGUCACUAUGUGAUGGAGCUUGCUGAAGUCGCCAUCCUUGGGUGGAUCCUGUGUGGCAUUAAGUUGUCCUGCAGGGGAUGCCCAUUGUUUACUGUGAAAAAAUUAGAGUGUUCAAAGCAGGCUUAUGCCGUUGAAUAUAUUAGCAUGGAAUAAUAAGAUAGGACCUUGGUACUAUUUUGUUGGUUUGCGCACCAAGGUAAUGAUUAAUAGGGACAGUUGGGGGUAUUCGUAUUUCAUUGUCAGAGGUGAAAUUCUUGGAUUUUUGAAAGACGAACUACUGCGAAAGCAUUUACCAAGGAUGUUUUCAUUG